GCUAAGGCUUUUUUAAAAGCCAUCCUCUCUCAGAUUAGUAAAUUU
rfam:Ailuropoda melanoleuca scaffold379_2, whole genome shotgun sequence.